UCCGAGUUGACCCCGGCAGUCUCCCACGAGUCCCCGGCAUAACCCGCUGGCAACAUAAGACAAGGGUUGCGCUCGUUGCGGGACUUAACCCAACAUCUCACGACACGAGCUGACGACAACCAUGCACCACCUGUGCACGGACCUUGCGGGGGAACCAUCUCUGGAACUUUCCCGUGCAUGUCAAGCCUUGGUAAGGUUCUUCGCGUCGCGUCGAAUUAAGCAACAUGCUCCGCCGCUUGUGCGGGCCCCCGUCAAUUCCUUUGAGUUUUAGCCUUGCGGCCGUAGUCCCCAGGCGGGGUGCUUAUUGCGUUAGCGACGGCACCGGAGGGGUCGAUACCCCCACACCUAGCGCCCAACGUUUACGGCGUGGACUAC
rnacentral:misc_RNA from 1 species